ACUCCUACGGGAGGCAGCAGUGGGGAAUUUUGCGCAAUGGGGGAAACCCUGACGCAGCAACGCCGCGUGAGUGAUGAAGGCCCUUGGGUCGUAAAGCUCUGACAGAGGGAAAGAAAUGCAGGGGGGCUAAUAUCUCCCUUGCUUGACGGUACCCUCAAAGGAAGCACCGGCUAACUCCGUGCCAGCAGCCGCGGUAAUACGGGGGGUGCAAGCGUUGUUCGGAUUUAUUGGGCGUAAAGCGCGUGUAGGCGGUUUUAUAAGUCUGAUGUGAAAGCCCUGGGCUCAACCCGGGAAGUGCAUUGGAUACUGUAAGACUUGAAUACGGGAGAGGGCAGUGGAAUUCCUAGUGUAGGAGUGAAAUCCGUAGAUAUUAGGAGGAACACCGGUGGCGAAGGCGGCUGCCUGGACCGAUAUUGACGCUGAGACGCGAAAGCGUGGGUAGCAAACAGGAUUAGAUACCCUGGUAGUCCACGCCGUAAACGAUGAGAACUAGGUGUCGCGGGUA
rnacentral:rRNA from 1 species